UAGCAGUUGCAAUGCUACCCGAGUACCUGGUGGUCCACUUUUGACUUUCUCCUUCCUUAGGGUACCUUGGGGAUAUUGAUUUUGUCAAAAGACUAUUAUGGAUGGCAAAGAAAACGUAGAAUGACUGCACUUUUUGGAAUCCUGCACAAUUUAAACAUAUGGGUUGCUGUAGGGACUACCCUUUCACAGAGCAUAAAAUCAUUAGGAAACACAUGCCAGUUCAAAUGCUACUCCUGCCAAAUCAGAGUAGAAGAAGAUUUGGUUCCUUUGUGGUGAUGAGUCUCCAUGCUGAGACAGUGAAAGCCAGAAUGGAAUGGCUAUCACAAUGAAAACCAAAGUGCUACCAUUGUCACAAGACAAAGAGAAUAUGCCAUGUUUUUAGUACCCAGGGGUUAGGAGUUCAGAACAGAAAGUAAAAUUCCAGGGAAUAAAAAUAUGAAAAUACUAAUGAUUUUCCCA
rnacentral:lncRNA from 1 species